UCGAGGUGGUUGCCGGCAAACUAGUUCAGCUAUCACCGCUGUUUCGUUUUCUUAGUUUGGUUGGGUCCUGAUGAUUGUGUGUCGCAUAAGUGUUGCUGUGACUGCUGUGCCGUUCCUUUUCUUUCUGAAUUAGUAUCCGAGCUUAUAUAUGUGGCGUUGAGGCUGUUUCUGCUAUUGAGAAAAAUAAGCGGAGCUAGAAUGUUGGUUGUUGGUUUCGGGCCGAGACGAAAGGCUUUCCUGUGACGCGUUUGGUUCAUGUAUUCGACGAGCCAAGGAUAUAGAAGACGAAGCUUCAGGAGAGUUAUGU